ensembl:misc_RNA 7SK 7SK RNA
AGAUGUGAGGAUGAUCUGGCUGUGAUAGAUGGCCCCCUUACUUGAUCCCUGGCUAGGUGGGUGUCUCCUUCUUCCCUUACACUUUCACAAGUGCCUAUCUUGAAACUGAGCACCCAGAUGAAGAGGAUGACUCUCCCUGGACAGAGAAGGGGCCAGACUUCAACCAAGGGUGUGUAAGUAGCUCUGCCCCCAUUAGGAUAACCAGACAAGCUCUCAAGGGUAAAAUACACCUUUGGCCUAAACAACCCUCUUUCCUAUCCUGACCUCUUCA